GCGCGGAUAGUCUAAUGGCUAAGAUGCCGGCCUUCCAAGCCGGGGAUCCGGGUUCGAAUCCCGGUCCGCGCA
rnacentral:tRNA from 1 species